rnacentral:lncRNA from 1 species
CACAAAGAGUACAAAGUCAAGGCCAUGCCCUGUGAGUGUUUGUGCGCACACCUUAGUGGGAAGUCAAGAAGCAAGAUUCUCAGCGAUAAAAGGUGAUCAGAUAUUUCUGAUGAAUCCUGGAAUCACAGCGCUAAGCACUGGACAAAAGAUCAAGGGGACAUUGGAGCCAGUCAGAUAAUGGGUUACUGUGUGAAUGGAGCCUGGCCUAGAAGUUGUACCUGUAUCUGGCCCUGAAGACCUGAAGGCCUGCAAAGCGCAGCAUGGAUCUUUCUCUACGGAAGUGUGAGCAUUUUUGCAAUGCUUAGCACAGCAGCUGCCAGGACUACCACCUGGUACCACCUUUUGUUCAAAAAUGAGAAUGGACAUGGACCAUCACAGAUGGAGAUCCACAUUUCUAUCAUGGAUUUAUUCAAAAGCACGCAGAUUUCACAAGAGGAAAUGAUGAGGCAUUUUUCUGAGAUGUUGAAAGUAUUCUGUUAGUCACCAAUGAAAAAAAAAAUGUUCUGAAAAUUCCUCAAAGGUAAAUGGUAGCCUUUCUUCUCCCAAAGUUCUGAUAUGGUCCCAAAAGGAAAUAGAAACUUGCAUAAUUCAGGCUCCAGUGAUUCUUCUUUCACUCUUAUUAACUGCAAAUCUUUGCCACAUUUUUCUUUACUAAUUAGUUAAAUGCUUAAGCUCCUGAGUCACUGGCCGUCUACUGGUUAGAGCUUGUUCUAACUCUUCCACCCUCAAAUGGAACUUGCAAGGAAUUAGACACUGCAAAGAUUCUACAUUCAUGUCCUGAAAACAAGCCAGCAAUGAGAUUGCCAAGAAGGACAGAUAAGCAUGAGUAUUAAGACCAACUAAUGCUGAGUCAAGGCCUUCCAAUACAUUUCCAGUGGGAAGAAAAGAGAAAAAUUCUGUUUCUUCACUGAUUCAUGUAUGUCUUCUUCCCUCUGAAGAUUUGGAUUUACAUUGGUCCUCUUGUCCUUAUUAUAUUCAAGAGCACAGUUGUAUUGAGCCUGCAGUUUGAAAAUGGCCUUGAAUUUGUCUCCAGCAGCGAUGGAGCCAGACAUGAGGCCAACUCUCCUGUUCUCUGUAGCUAGAGGCCAGAAGUUUGUCAAAGUCACAGAAUCUGAAAAAACCAGCAGCACAUGAGACAUGAAAUGAGCAUGUACAGGAGGUGGGGAGUUUGCCUCUUCCAGAAAAGUCACAUCUUCGGCGUAGAUAAUUCCAAUCUUUACUAAUCCAUGCCAAGCAACGUUCCCAGUAGGUGCUCCAUUAAUCACUGUCAUAUAAACCACAGGAAAAAGCCAUGAGUAGUAUUCCCAGGCUUGUAUCUAAUGACACAAACAACUUAGUAUAAAUAUAUGACCUUCCACUGAUCAGCUCCAAAAUACUUUUUUAAAGGUUGCUUCGCCUUUACUCAUUGGCAGAGUAGCUGUCAAAAUGUUCACAGUUCCCCAGAAGCUGUAUCCUCUUGGGCUUGUCUCAUUUACAUUCUCUGCCCUUCCCUGGAUACCAUUAUCUUCCUAAAAAAUUAAAUCUGAUUAUAUUGUGUGCGCACUUGCACCCUCUCUACUGUAAUUGGGAUCUCGACCUUUGCAUGUAGGCUUCCCUGGUGGCUCAGAGGUUAAAGCGUCAGCCUCCAAUGUGGGAGACCCGGGUUCGAUCCCUGGGUCGGGAAGGUCCCCUGGAGAAGGAAAUGGCAACCCACUCCAGUAUUCUUGCCUGGAGAAUCCCAUGGACUGAGGAGCCUGGUGGACUGCAGUCCAUGGGGUCACAAAGAGUCGGACACGACUGAGUGACUUUACUUACUUAUUUACUUACUUUUGCAUGUAGAAUGGAGUCCAUGCUCAUUAAAAAGGAAUAAAAGACCCUCCUCAGUCCAACUGCAACCUGCUCCUCCAGCUUCAUCUCCACUAUCCUCUUCUUCAUCCUCUCCAUUCCCUAAUGUCACCACAAAAAUCAUCUUUCAUUUCUCACCAUUUCCAGAGGAUACCAAGCCCAAAUUCAAUAGCUCUGUGCACUUCUGCUCCUCCACUUGGUGUUGUCAUCUCUUCUAUCUCUACUGAGAAAACAUCUCACCCUUGAUGAGCUAGUUCUUGUAGCCUCCUCUGAGAAGCCCCAGAUGGAGUUAGUUAUAUCUUUCCCUGUGAGAACAGCAAGAAAAAGCAGCUUUCUUCCUGCACAUAUCUCACUACUCCACUGAAAUAGCUUACCUAAGCCUGUCUCCCUAUCUCCCCAUUAAUCUGUGUAUUUCUAGAAGGUGGAUCAUUUUCUAUUUUUUAGAUUCCCCAGCACCUAAUAUAAUGCAUAUCAUGUAAAAGUUGCUUAGUAGCUAUUUGUAGAAUAAAUGAUAAGCGCAUUGGGUGACUUGGCAUAUGAUAAUGAUGUUGGCAUUCCCAGAAACUCCCCAUGUGAUCAAAUAGGCAGGUUCCCCUGCAUUGCCGCAAGCCUUAUCAUCACUUUUGAGAAUGUCUUCCUUUGCCUCUGAAUAUCUUGGUCUAGCAAAAAUGGCAAAGUCCCAGGGAGCAGGAAACAGAAGGAACCACCUUCAGGCUUCACUAGUACCUCACACCUGCUCAGAACAGUAGAGGAUGCUAACGGGAUGCUAAGAGGUGCUGCAAUCAUCAUCUAUUUUCCUGAACAUGAUAAGGCUGAAUAAAAUGCUCUGCAAAUUACACGUACUUGUUAAAGCUUGAGCACUGACUCCAUAAAGCAAAAUUAUAGAAUGCCAAGGCCAAAGAGACCUUGAUAUUAACCACUAUUUUUGUAGAGAUGAGAACACUGAGACUCAGAGAGGAAAAUAAACAGGAACAUGAAUAUAAACAAUAAAUUCACAAGUGUGCCCUGGACUAUAGUAGAAAACAUUCCCUAAUAGAUGAAAGGGGGUGCCUAUUUAAAAUGUUAGCUUUUCUGUGCCUGCCUAAGAAACAUUCUGGCACAGCUCUGAGCCAUCCGGCUCUGCACUGGAUCCCAGCUCCCCGUGUAAAGCAGAGCAAACUUGGGAGGCUGACAUGGACCUUGGUACCUCUCGCUGCGAUUGGGGAACACUGACAUUUUUGUUGAGGGUGACUAAGAGAGAUGAUUUGCCUUGGUUAGAAAUUAGUCAGAUGGCAUUUCCUUAGGCUUUGCUUUCAUUUCUUAGAGAAAGGUUGAAAUGAACGGAGGACUCGGUCUUCUUUUCAGAUUAUUUCAUGAAUGAUCCAUAGUUGUUGAAUAAUUUCCAGAAGCCUAGGGCAAGAGAACAUGAUAAUGAAGGGAACACCAGGACCUUUCCAAACACCAGGAAAGGUCCGACAGGUGCUAAGCAGGGGGCCUCAGGAGAACUCAUGACAAAUCCUGGAUCCUGAUUUCCUGACUUGUGAAACAAAGGACUUUGACCAGGUACACUCUGAGUCUCCCUCCUGCUCUGGGAAUCCUUCAGGUCUCUGAGGCUACUCGUGAAUGGUCAUUCACGAGACACCUCUCUUGCCUCAUGUGUUGGGCUCUGUGGUUGGCCCUGAGAAGGGAAUGACAC